rnacentral:SRP_RNA from 1 species
UCGUGCUAGGCGGGGAACUAGCGGUGCCCUGUAACCCGAAAACCGCUUUAUGCGGGGCGGAAUCCCCGUGCUGAGGUCCGCUUUCUGCUGCAAGCGGCCGCGUCGGCCGACGUUGAAGGCCGGGCCCGGUGCAACGUGCUGCCUGUGAACCCCGUCAGGUCCGGGAGGAAGCAGCGGUAAGCAGGUCAGGCGUGUGCCGCCGGCGCGCCCCGGCCUGAGCCUGGCCGCGUGGAAGGCUACUGCGGGAACGGAUCGAGGCCGGGUGCACGA